CAUCUGUCAUCCCAUUGAUCACCAGGGUUGAUUCAGAUGAUCUGGCUGACUAGAUGGGUG
rnacentral:sRNA from 1 species